rnacentral:tRNA from 1 species
GAGGUAUUAGUAAAAUAUUUACAUAACUUUGUCAAAGUUAAAAUAUAGGUUAAAGUCCUUUAUAUCUCC